UACGUAGGGGGCAAGUGUUGUCCGGAUUUAUUGGGCGUAAAGAGCGUGUAGGCGGCCAUACAGGUCCGUUGUGAAAACUCGAGGCUUAACCUCGAGACGUCGAUGGAAACCGUAUGGCUAGAGUCCGGAAGAGGAGAGUGGAAUUCCUGGUGUAGCGGUGAAAUGCGCAGAUAUCAGGAGGAACACCGAUGGCGAAGGCGGAUCUCUGGGCCAUUACUGACGCUGAGGAGCGAAAAGCGUGGGGGAGCGAACAGG
rnacentral:rRNA from 1 species